CCCAUGGAUUACGUGUUGGUUGCACGGAGAGAGAGAGAGGGAGAAUUCAAUCGGCAACCCAUGGAUGAUCUUUCGGUCAAACUCGCAGAUCCAUGUUCGAUCCUUCAAUUUCUGAGCUAAACAUUGAUCCAAUUCCCAGAUCCACAAGAAGGAAACGUAAAGACUCGGUUUGUGCCUCAAAAAUAUACUCUCUUCUCUGUUGUGUGCUUGAAUGCCUCGGAUCUGCGACUCUUGAUUGCUGAAAAUUAGGGUUUAGGUGCUCUUGAAGAUGCCCACCCUGAUUUUUUUACACCAAGUGCAAAUGGCAACCCAGGCAUUCCAACUUACCCAGGGAAAUACUGCAUUUAAGGAAAAGCCUGAAAUAAUGUUGUCAAGUGCUAUACUGAAGCUAUCAGAUUGAACAUGAUGUGUGCAACUUAUGAUUGCAUCCGUGCAACUGCUUACUUGGAGUUGGGUGCAGUGGCGGAUCCAGGAAUCUUACCCCAAGGGGUCGCAGUGUAAAAGUUCAAAUAAAAAUUUAGGAUGGAAAAACAUAUUGAAAAUGAAAUCAUAGUACUUUCAUUCAUAAUUCAUAAUGGAAACAAUAUUACAAACUA